AUGAACACAAUUUUCACCUAUUCCAAGUUGCUUUUAAAUAGCAACGGCAGUGGCAUGUAUUGGACCUUCUUCUGUGGGCAGCAACGGCAGUGGCAUGUAUUGGACCUUCUUCUGUGGCCAGCAAUGGCAGAGCAUUUUAGACCACUGUCGAGCUUAAACAGCUUUUUCCAAAAUGAGCUGGAACUGCUUGUUUUUUUGUUGGAUGGACUGCAUGAAGACCUUAAUUGUGUAAAACGGUCAGUACCGAUUGACAUUGGAGCACACACUCACUGUAGACAUCAUGCUGUGAUAGCACUUGAUUGUUUUCAUGCAUGA